rnacentral:rRNA from 1 species
GACGAACGCUGGCGGCGUGCCUAACACAUGCAAGUCGAACGAAAAGUCCGGGUCUUUUGGCGCCCGGCGGCGGAAGGUGUGGGGACCUGCACUUGGGUUCGGACUACCUCCCCGAAAGGGAUGCUCAUACCAGAUAGUGUCUUCGGACCAAGGAUUUAUUGCCUUGGGUUGGGCCCUCGUUGGAUUCGGUAGUUGGUAGGGUAAUAGCCUACUAAGGCGAGGAUGCAUAGCUGGUCGGAGAGGAUGAUCAGCAACACUGGAACUCAGACACGGCCGAGACUCCUACGGAAGGGAGGAGAGGGGAACAGUGGACAAUGGGGGAAGGCCUGAUCCAGCAAUGCCGCGUGAGUGAUGAAGGCCGUAGGGUUGUAAUGCUCUUUUACCCGUGAUGAUAAUGACGGUACCGGGUGAAUAAGCACCGGCUAACUCCGUG